rnacentral:rRNA from 1 species
UACGAAGGGGGCUAGCGUUGUUCGGAUUUACUGGGCGUAAAGCGCACGUAGGCGGAUCGUUAAGUCGGGGGUGAAAUCCUGGAGCUCAACUCCAGAACUGCCUUUGAUACUGGCGAUCUUGAGUUCGGGAGAGGUGAGUGGAACUGCGAGUGUAGAGGUGAAAUUCGUAGAUAUUCGCAAGAACACCAGUGGCGAAGGCGACUUACUGGACACAUAUUGACGCUGAGGUGCGAAAGCGUGGGGAGCAAACAGG